UGCUCAGGUGUCUGCAUAUGAG
rnacentral:siRNA from 1 species